CCUACGGGUGGCAGCAGUAGGGAAUAUUGCUCAAUGGGGGAAACCCUGAAGCAGCAAAGCCGCGUGGGGGAUGAAGGUUUUCAGAUUGUAAACUCCUUUUGUUAGAGAAGCUAAUGACGGUAUGUAACGAAUAAGCACCGGCUAACGCCGUACCAGCAGCCGCUGUAAUACGGAGGGUGGAAGCGUUACUCGGAAUCACUGGGCGUAAAGCGCGCGUAGGCGGGAUAGUAAGUCAGAUGUGAAAUCCUAUGGAUUAACCAUAGAACUGCAUUUGAAACUGUUAUUCUAGAGUAGGGGAGAGGUAGGUGGAAUGCUUGGUGUAGGGGUAAAAUCCGUAGAGAUCAAGAGGAAUACUCAUUGCGAAGGCGACCUGCUAGCACAUAACUGACGCUGAUGCGCGAAAGCGUGGGGAGCAAACAGGAUUAGAUACCCGAGUAGUC
rnacentral:rRNA from 1 species